CCAAAAAAAGGUAGAAGUUGAAAGCGGCAAACAAAACUCUUAUUUGAUUUCUGAUUUUUCUAGAGAGAGAGAGAAGAAAAGGCCUCGUGGAAUCUCUGAGCCAGUCGUCUCCAGCCACAGCAAAACCUGGGUUUUGGUUGGCUUCCUAGGUUUAAUUUCUGUGGAAUUCAUUUCGUUCCGUCGUUGGUAUUGUCGUUGUGUGACUUCGAGUUUGUUGGGUACUUCAAUUAUCCAUCUGGGUAUUGUUAAUUUCUGUCUAGGGCUCAGAACUUUGGGAAAGAUUGAAAGUUUAAAGCUUUUUAGUGCUUUUUCUGGCUGAAAUUCGUGUCUUUAUAUAUAUUUUCUCUGUGAUUUCGUUAUCACAAUGGACGACGGUGAGGUUGAUUUCUCGAACCAAGAGGUGUUUUCGAGUCCAAACAUUGGCGGUGAGCUUCCAAGCAGUUGUUCAAUGGAUAGCUUCUUUGAUGAGCUUCUUAAGGACACUCACGCUUGCACUCACACCCACACUUGUAACCCACCUGGCCCUGACUUCUCCCACACCCACACUUGCUUUCAUGUCCAUACCAAAAUUGUGCCUGCCUCCGGCGAAGACAAGGCUGCGUCGGAUGACACCGCGGAGUCUACAGAAAAGAAAUCGAAGAAACGCCCACUGGGCAACCGCGAAGCAGUGCGCAAGUAUCGCGAGAAGAAGAAGGCGCGAGCGGCGUCGUUGGAGGAUGAAGUUGUGAGAUUGAGGGCUAUUAAUCAGCAGUUGCUGAAAAGGUUGCAGGGUCAGGCUGCUCUGGAGUCUGAGGUUGCAAGGCUCAAGUGUUUGCUUGUGGACAUCCGUGGAAGGAUUGAAGGGGAAAUUGGGUCUUUUCCGUAUCAGAAACCUGUUAAUCAGAACCUUACGAACACAACCAUGCCUGGCGCCUACGUGAUGAAUCCGUGUAACAUGCAAUGUGAUGAUCAGGUAUAUUGCCUGCAUCCAGGGAUGGAUGGAAAAUGUGAUGGUGCUGUGUUGAAUGGACAAAGUUUCAGUGGUUGUGAGUUUGAGAGUCUUCAAUGUUUAGCAAAUCAGAACUCAGGAUCCAAGGAGCUUCCUGGUUGUGAACUUGGAAAUGCGUCUCAUGUCAAUUCUUCUGGCUCAAAUAAGAGGAAAGGGGGGACUCGCCCAGCGACAGCAAAUUGAAAGCCUGAGAAGUUGGCACUGGAUUAAGCAUCAAGAUAGAUAUCUAUAAUAAAUAGUUGUCAAACUGCAGCAUCAGCUUUCCCUCAGAACAUAGGAAGAUGGGAUGUCUCUCAUGUUUCAAUUCUAUGAGCUGUGAAACAAGGUGAGUCACAUUCUCACUUCAUGAGAUCCAAAUUUCUGAUUUUGUGAAAGGAUCACUAUAGUCUAAGAGAGUUUGCUUCUUCUUCUUUUACCGUUUUGUGCAAGUAAGAAUGCCAGAUUUCUUUGUGAAGGUAGAGCAUUCUCUUAUUGAAGAAUGUGCCCAACAAUUCUUGUCAUCAUCAAAUUUAAGACUGACGCAUGGGUGAAUUGCACGUGUUUGUUUUUCACUGGUGCGUCUGGCCAUUGGAAUCUCUUGCCACUGUUAGGAGAUCUCAGUGAAACUCUCCAUCUUAGACCCAACCGAAGCAACAACGUUGCAACACUCUUGACUUUCAAA